rnacentral:rRNA from 1 species
UACGUAGGUGGCGAGCGUUGUCCGGAUUUACUGGGCGUAAAGGGAGCGUAGGCGGACUUUUAAGUGAGAUGUGAAAUACUCGGGCUUAACUUGAGUGCUGCAUUUCAAACUGGAAGUCUAGAGUGCAGGAGAGGAGAAUGGAAUUCCUAGUGUAGCGGUGAAAUGCGUAGAGAUUAGGAAGAACACCAGUGGCGAAGGCGGUUCUCUGGACUGUAACUGACGCUGAGGCUCGAAAGCGUGGGGAGCAAACAGG